rnacentral:rRNA from 1 species
AUUGAACGCUGGCGGCAGGCUUAACACAUGCAAGUCGAGCGGGGAAAGGUAGCUUGCUACCUGACCUAGCGGCGGACGGGUGAGUAAUGCUUAGGAAUCUGCCUAUUAGUGGGGACAACGUUCCGAAAGGAACGCUAAUACCGCAUACGUCCUACGGGGGAAAGCAGGGGAUCUUCGGACCUUGCGCUAAUAGAUGAGCCUAAGUCGGAUUAGCUAGUUGGUGGGGUAAAGGCCUACCAAGGCGACGAUCUGUAGCGGGUCUGAGAGGAUGAUCCGCCACACGGGGACUGAGACACGGCCCAGACUCCUACGGGAGGCAGCAGUGGGGAAUAUUGGACAAUGGGCGGAAGCCUGAUCCAGCCAUGCCGCGUGUGUGAAGAAGGCCUUUUGGUUGUAAAGCACUUUAAGCGAGGAGGAGGCUCCUUUAGUUAAUACCUAAAGAGAGUGGACGUUACUCGCAGAAUAAGCACCGGCUAACUCUGUGCCAGCCGCCGCCGUAACAC